rnacentral:tRNA from 1 species
ACCACGAUAGCUCAGUUGGCAGAGCAUCCGCCCGAUAUGCGGAGGGUUGCCGGUUUGGUUCCGGCUCGCGGCG